ACCUAAUCUUUAAAACUCAUGAAUGAUGCUCAAUUUUGCAUAUACACGUAAAUCAGUUUGCAGCUUCAUCCAAAUGAAUUAUCUGAAUGAGCAAACGAACAGCGGAACAUGGCCUAACUCUAAUGGAAGAAGAAAUAUAAUAUAAGGAAAUUUAGGGGUCCUUAGAUCAUCUGUAAUCCUCUUGAUAUCCUGCCUUUCUCUUGCAUCAUUUCUGACUUAUAACUUUCCUCCAUGAGACA